UUCAAAAUUGAAAAGAAAUCACUCAUAAAGCGACAAGUGGCGAGGGAGUAAUGAAAUUGAAACUUAAAAUAACCCUCAUUUCUCUCUCUUGAAAAAAAACUCCAGAAGAAAAAACCAGUAAAUCAACUCUCUCUCCUCUCACUCCUAUUCACCUUCUUUUUUAAAAAAAAUAAAAUAAAAAACAGCUUCAUGUUUCAAGCCAAACCUUUCAUCUUAUCAUCCCACACAAACAUUAAAGAUCAACAUCUUUUGUGAAUAACGAUGGAUAUCAAUGUAAUGAAAUAGAAAGCAAAGAUCAACGGAAAGAGGGAAGAAAAAAAAAGGGUACCAUACUGAAGCAAGGUGGUUGUUGUUGUUGAAGGAAGAGAAGAUCUGGAGACGUGAGGGUCGUUUGGAGGUUGUUGUUCAUUAGCCGGAGACAGAAAUGCGUUUGUUAUAGGUUCAUGUGUUCUUGUGAUAUGGUGGAGUUUUAUGAAAUGUUGUGUUUAAAAAUGGAGAAUGAAGGUGUUCAUCAUGAAUAAUAAACUUCUUCAAAUUUUUACAUCUUCAUGUUCAUUUUUGGUUACAACUGUGAGGUGGUUUUGAUGGAAUGGGAAGAAAGAGUAGGCUGUAAAUUAGGGACCUUUUUGCAGCAAAUUUCAUUUAGUUGAGAUGUAACUAUUUAGUUUAAUUUUUUUUAAGGACAAAAUGUGUGUUUGGAUUAUUUGGGACUUAUUGAAUUAAAUUUUAAUUAUGUAA